CCUACGGGUGGCAGCAGUGAGGAAUAUUGGUCAAUGGGCGCGAGCCUGAACCAGCCAAGUAGCGUGAAGGAUGACUGCCCUACGGGUUGUAAACUUUUUUUUUAAAGGACUAAAGUGAGGCACGUGUGCCUUUUUGUAUGUACUUUAUGAAUAAGGAUCGGCUAACUCCGUGCCAUCAGCCGCGGUAAUACGGAGGAUCCGAGCGUUAUCCGGUUUUAUGGGGUUUAAGGGGGGCGUAGAUGGGUUGUUAAGUCAGUUGUGAAAGUUUGCGGAUCAACCGUAAAAUUGCAAUUGAUACUGGCAGUCUUGAGUACAGAUGAGGUAGGCGGAAUUCGUGGUGUAGCGGUGAAAUGCUUAGAUAUCACGAAGAACUCCGAUUGCGAAGGCAGCUUACUAAACUGCCACUGACAUUGAUGCUCGAAAGUGUGGGUAUCAAACAGGAUUAGAUACCCGUGUAGUC
rnacentral:rRNA from 1 species